GCUGGCGGCGUGCUUAACACAUGCAAGUCGAGUGCGCGUUUCUGUAGCAAUACAGGAAUGGCGCACGGCGCACGGGUGCGUAACACGUGGGUAAUCUGCCCUCUGAUGGGGAAUAACCCGCCGAAAGGCGGGCUAAUUCCGCAUAACAUUCCCUGGACUCCGGUUCGGGGAUUCAAAGGCGUAAGUCGUCGGAGGUGGAGCCCGCGCACGAUUAGCUAGUUGGUAGGGUAACGGCCUACCAAGGCUUUGAUCGUUAGCUGGUCUGAGAGGAUGGCCAGCCACACUGGAACUGAGACACGGUCCAGACUCCUACGGGAGGCAGCAGUGGGGAAUCUUGCACAAUGGGCGAAAGCCUGAUGCAGCGACGCCGCGUGGGGGAUGAAGCUUCUCGGAGUGUAAACCCCUUUCGACCCGGACGAAUGCCCCGCAAGGGGAGUGACGGUACGGGUAAAAGAAGCCCCGGCUAAC
rnacentral:rRNA from 1 species